rnacentral:rRNA from 1 species
UACGUAGGUGGCAAGCGUUGUCCGGAUUUAUUGGGCGUAAAGGGCGCGCAGGUGGUGGGUUAAGUCUGCCGUGAAAUCUCCCGGCUCAACUGGGAGGCUGCGGCCGAUACUGGCCGACUACGAGGUACCUAGAGGUCGGUGGAAUUCCCGGUGUAGUGGUGAAAUGCGUAGAGGAUCGAGAGGAACACCUGCGGCGAAGGCGGGUUGCUGGGCGUGACACUGACGCUGAAGUGCGAAGCUAGGGGAGCGAACGGG